rnacentral:misc_RNA from 1 species
GAUGAAGAACGCAGCGAAAUGCGAUACUUGGUGUGAAUUGCAGAAUCCCGUGAACCAUCGAGUCUUUGAACGCAAGUUGCGCCUCAAGCCAUUAGGUUGAGGGCACGUCUGCCUGGGCGUCACAUAUCGUUGCCUGAUGCCAGUUUCCUCGUGAUGGGUGACUGUGCAGGGCGAAUGAUGGCUUCCCGUGAGCAUUGUUGCCUCAUGGUUGGUUGAAAAUUGAGUCCUUGGUAGGGAGCGCCGUGAUAGAUGGUGGUUGAGUGACGAACGAGACCCAAUCAUGUGAGACCCCUACCGAAUUUGGCCUUCAUGACCCACAUGCGUCUUUGGAACGCUCAUGACGAGACCUCAGGUCAGGCGGGGCUACCCGCUGAGUUUAAGCAUAUCAAUAAGCGGAGGAA